GCUUCCGUAGCUCAGUUGGUUAAGAGCUAUUGGACCGGUGUUCCAAAAGCUCGCGGGUUCGAGUCCUGCCGGAAGCA